rnacentral:rRNA from 1 species
AGUGAACGCUGGCGGUAGGCCUAACACAUGCAAGUCGAACGGCAGCACAGUAAGAGUUUGCUCUUACGGGUGGCGAGUGGCGGACGGGCGAGGAAUACAUCGGAAUCUACUUUUUCGUGGGGGAUAACGUAGGGAAACUUACGCUAAUACCGCAUACGACCUACGGGUGAAAGCAGGGGAUCUUCGGACCUUGCGCGAUUGAAUGAGCCGAUGUCGGAUUAGCUAGUUGGCGGGGUAAAGGCCCACCAAGGCGACGAUCCGUAGCUGGUCUGAGAGGAUGAUCAGCCACACUGGAACUGAGACACGGUCCAGACUCCUACGGGAGGCAGCAGUGGGGAAUAUUGGACAAUGGGCGCAAGCCUGAUCCAGCCAUACCGCGUGGGUGAAGAAGGCCUUCGGGUUGUAAAGCCCUUUUGUUGGGAAAGAAAAGCAGCAGGUUAAUACCCCGCUGUUCUGACGGUACCCAAAGAAUAAGCACCGGCUAACUUCGUG